AGAUAUUUUUAAAUCUUUAAAUGAUCAGUGGAAACAAGGAUUUUAAAAUUUGUGGGGAAAUAUUUGAUAGUAUAAAAACACUAUCUGUUAUACACAUGGAAUGUUAAAAGUAUGUUACUAUUAAUAUGAGUAACUGUCAAAAUGAAUUUGCUUGUGAAAAAGAGAAAAAAGCAUUUUUUAUCACAUUGCUCAACUCUUGAAAUCUUAAUCUAACUGAACAAUAUAUACUGUUAUUAGUUUAAAAUUAUUGAAUUAACACUUUCCAAAUCAUCUAGAUAUAUGUGAAAUUAAACUUCAAAUCUAAUCAUUGAACAAUAAGAAUAAGUUUAUGAGGAUUUUUGUGGUAAAAUAAUUUUGCGACAAAAUAAGUUUAGGAUCACCACACAAUAAAUCUUCCUCUUGGAGCUUUUUCAUGCACUGGCCAGGGAUUGAACCCACAUCCUUGGGGAUACUUGUGGAGUUUGUUACUGCUGAGCCACAUGGGAACUCUUGCACUUUCUAAUUUUUAAAUAUUCUAUAAAAUUGUGUAAUAAAGAAAUGUCUCUAACUUUGUGUUUUCCAAAUCAACUUGACCACAAACUUUUUUUAAUGGAAUACCUAUUCAUGCCUCACUCAAAAUUCUGGACCUUACAAUCUAUCAUGCUGCCAUAAUGGUAGAAUCCUUUGGAGCAGUGAUAAGGAUUUGUAUAAGAUGCUUUCCAAAAUAAUAUCAGGGCAAUUUUCUCUGAUAGGUCACAAAAUGCAUUUUAUUUAACAAUAUGUCGACACACACUAUUUAAAUAAGUGUUUAAAAAGUCACAGGAGGGAAAACUGAAACUAUCUGAGGUUUUUAAAAAAUUAGAAUUAUUGAAAAUUUCAGGCCAAUAGAAUUUUUUCAACUUUCAUGAAGCCUAGAUUGAUUCUGAGAUUGUUGUAUAAAUGUUAAAAAUAUAAACACCUCAUGCAACAUUCAAAUUUCUAUACAUGUGUGUUUACCUAGCAAGGAGGAAACAUUUUCCCUGAUUAUAGGCUGUUAUAACAGUGGGACAUUGGUCAUCUUAUUUCUCUCUGCUUUAAAGUUUUUCUAUUUUUCAUGUAAAAGGUUUUUUCUCUUGAUGUUGGUAAGAGAAAAAUAUGAGAUUAAACACUCUACUCCAUUUGAAAAGAAAAGGAAGGAAUGUAAGAACUAGAAUUUGGAAGAGGGACCUAAAUAAGUAUGUGUCAGGGUUAAUGUGGUAAAUCAGGAAAUAUUGGAAUGUUCAUCUGUUCACUGAGAAAAUACUAUACACCUUGCCCUGAGAAUACAGUUUCUAAAAUAAAGCAUGUUUACAAUUUCCCAUAUUUUUCAUUUUUUUUUUUUUUUUUGGUCUUUUUUUGCUAUUUCUUGGGCCUCUCCCGCGCCUGGGAACCUCCAUAUGCUGCUGGUGAGGCCCUAAAAAAAAAAAAAAAAAAAAAAAAAAAAGAAGUUAUUCUAGUAACUACUUUGUGAAAAACUCAAGUAAUUGUUAUAGAUUUUAUAUGAUGUCUUCAUUGACAUAGACAGUCUUCAUUCAUGUCAAUGUGAGUCUACCAUUAAGACUUUAAUGUCUGGAGUUCCCUUUGUGGCUCAGUAGUUAACAAUUCUAACUGAGAUCCAUGAGGAAGGAUGCAGGUCCAAUCCCUGGCCUCACUCAGUGGGUUAAGGAUCCAGUAGUGCAGUGAAUUCAGAUCCUGCAUUGCUGUGGCCUCUAGCCUAGGAACAACCAUAUGCCGCAGGUGUGGCACUAAAAAGCAAAAAAAAAANAA
rnacentral:lncRNA from 1 species